UACGGGGGGGGCAAGCGUUGUUCGGAAUUACUGGGCGAAAGGGCGCGUAGGCGGCCUGCUAAGUCGGAUGUGAAAUCCCUCGGCUCAACCGAGGAACUGCAUCCGAUACUGGCGGGCUUGAAUCCGGGAGAGGGAUGUGGAAUUCCAGGUGUAGCGGUGAAAUGCGUAGAUAUCUGGAGGAACACCGGUGGCGAAGGCGGCAUCCUGGACCGGUAUUGACGCUGAGGCGCGAAAGCUAGGGGAGCAAACGGG
rnacentral:rRNA from 1 species